rnacentral:tRNA from 1 species
GCCUGGGUGGCUCAGUCGGUUGAGCGUCCGACUUCGGCUCAGGUCAUGAUCUCGCAGUUUGUGGGUUCAAGCCCCACAUCAGGCU